rnacentral:misc_RNA from 1 species
CAACACUCAAGCUCAGCUUGGUAUUGGGCGCCGCCCUUCGCGGGCGCGCCUCAAACUCCUCGGCGUCGCCGUCCGUCUUUAAGCGCAGCGAGAUUUUUCCAGCGCUUUCAAAGUCGGGCCUCGACCGUCGGACAAAGCCUUAUUUUGUCAA